CAGCAGCCGCGGGAAUACGUAGGGUGCUAGCGUUGUUCGGAUUUACUGGGCGUAAAGCGCACGUAGGCGGAUCGAUCAGUCAGGGGUGAAAUCCCAGAGCUCAACUCUGGAACUGCCUUUGAUACUGUCGAUCUGGAGUAUGGAAGAGGUGAGUGGAAUUCCGAGUGUAGAGGUGAAAUUCGUAGAUAUUCGGAGGAACACCAGUGGCGAAGGCGGCUCACUGGUCCAUUACUGACGCUGAGGUGCGAAAGCGUGGGGAGCAAACAGGAUUAGAUACCCCGGUAGUCCCUGUCUCUUAUAA
rnacentral:rRNA from 1 species